GAGCUAAAACGCUCCUCGGAGCUGAGGCAAGUCAUGAACUUGUAAAGAAAUCCAGACAGCCCUUGGAUGUAAGAGGAGCUGAGGAUUGAUGACUACUUGUAUUUACAACGUGGAAGCCGAGUCCUGCUGGCACCAUCGCAUCUCCACACACGCUCACAGGUCUCCAUUAAUCUCACCUCAAAGUGUGCCGUUGGAUUUGUUUGUCACAAAGGAUAUUUGGAGUAUUAGUUUAAACAAGUUCCAUCUCUGACCUGUUGCUGCAUGGCGUGCUGCGUGUGUGUGGUCUCAUAAUGUGAUAUCUCCACCAACUCUGCAAAACCAGCACGACAGACUGCCGGCGCAGCAGCAACCACUUUGAUUUUCCACAGAAGAAUGAUUCACUCUCGAAUGAACACUUAGUGACCCACAGCUUAAAGGCCAAGAUUAGCCUUGGCAACUGAGGCCCUCUGGGGUCCAUAAUCGAUGUUUACUGUGGAACACCCUGCUGUUUACCUGAGCUCGCUCCCGUGGUCAUCCAGUCCAAGUCACAAGAGGUAUGAAGCAAUGAGAAGGAAAAAUGUGGAGGAUCAGAGAAGCACAUAAUAAAAACUUCUUAAAGGAAUAUCUCAACAUUUAGGGGGAGCAGGGAAUAUAUACUUAUUUUCUUUAAUAAGUAAAGCUGGACAGAAGAUUUUAAUGGGUACCACCAGAUGUUAGCAACCAUAAUAGCUAUUUUAAAUCGAAAUAUCUAAGUAGUUUAAUGAAUCAACUCCCUUAAGACAUAUAUUUAUCAUAUUUUUAGAGUCAGAUAGUUAAAUUACUCAUUUGAUUAGUGUUAAAAAAAAAUAUCGAAAGAAUUGGGGGAGCCUGUCUAAACAAGAGAAAAAGCAGAUGUGCAGCUGGCAUUUUGUGCUGUUAUUGAUAUUUGAGCAUUCAUAAAGUUUUUAAUUGGGGAUCAGAUUUUAUGGUGCGCACUGUGAUUUGUGUCAAAAUUUCAGAUACAUUUUGAGCAGCUUCGGACUAAAAUAACAGCAUGUGUACUCUCAAGCCAUUAUCUUCAUGUACUUUUCUUUGUGUCCUGCGAGUGACACUCACAUGUUCCUUGUAAAUUGAAUCAGACGGGAACACCGCGUACACUGUAUCAGCUUGGAUCUGGGUGCUGCGAGCUUCUCAGGACUGCUUUAGAACAAAACCUGUGCAGCAUUCAGGAAUAAUGCUACAAAGUGAGAAAUUACAAUCUACAAACACAGUAAUAAUGAGAGUAAGCAGGAGACGCAACAAAAACACACACAAAAAAAUCCUGUUUUAGGGGACUACUAAAAGUUGAGAUGUGUUUGUAGCUGCUAUGAUUUGUGACUCUUAGAGUGCCUGGAGUCAAGCAUCCAUCAGUGGUUUAAGAAAACAUAAAUUGAAACCUUAAAUGGAUCGUUUAAUUUGUUGGUUUAAGCUUUCGACUCGAUGAUUCAGUUAUUAUUACAGAUGUUUAGAACAAAAUAACCAUAUACUGUAUAGAAGAGAUGGAAGUUGCCACUGUGAUGUCACCCAGUUGCUUGGUGUUUUGCCUUUGUUUACACCUGCUGUUACCAUGGAUAGCAAGUUGGCACUGGAGAGCAAUCUCCUGUUGCUAUCACUACGUACUGCAUGUUACUUUUUUCUUUGCUUAACAAGGUGUAUUAUAUUAAAUUGAUGCUAAUUCUGCGAAUAUAUAUUAAUAUAUUUCCUUAAAUUA